CCCAAAAAGGCCCACCAACAAUUCAAAUCCCUAAACCCAACCCAUUCCAUUUAACAACAACUUCAGCAUAAGCGUACAACUGCCAAACCAGACGACCCCUACGUCUUUUACUUCUUGUUCCUCGACGCGAAGAAACACAGAACCUUCAACAGUCCGAAAAUCAACAUCCUACAGCGAAUCCGCGACCCGAGCCCAGAAACGUGCAGCCUAGCGCGUGUCUUCUCUUCUUCGCCCCUAAUUCUCGUACAAAGCCAGGUGUUGGCAUCUCGCGUGCUUGUCGUCCUUCCUCCAAAAUCGGAGGGAUCCCUUCUUUAAUCCGUUGAAAUAGUACAAAUUCCACUUUGUUGAGCUUUAUCUUCUAGAAAAAUUUGAAUUUUUGAAUUUGAAUUUAUCCAGAAACACCUAACCUGUUUUCCCCCCUAAAUCAAUCCCCAUCUCCUUCUAUAAAAGCUCUCUUUAUUCUUCAUUAAAAAGGUUGGUGAGAGAGGGAAGAAAGUUGGAAAAAAGUUGUUGUUUAGAGCAAAACAUUACACAGAACUCCUUAAGUAAAAAUAGUCAACAUACGUACUAAAUACAUUAAUAACUCCUCUGUUCUUUUUCGCUGCCGGCGCUCACUCCAAGUGUGGUUAAGGUCGAGAUUUGAUCGAGUUUUCUGUUCACUGUUUGUGUUUCAUGUGUGUGGAAGUCACUGCUCCUUCUAGCUCGUCCGGUCCCAAUUCGCAGCCCACAACAAUGUCUCAUGGACCCCACCCUCACAUUUCCAUUUGGGCCAUGGAGGCCCAACAUAUUUUUUUUUAUCGAGUUAGCCAACUAAAAAUCGACAUACAGAUCAAAAAGUCGGAGAAAUGGGUUAAAGAGUUCAAUUUUACUUUCAAAAUAUUGUAUUUUGUUAUUUUAUGGGCCUAAGCCCCUUAUCAUGUUGUAUUAUUAUUAUUUUGAUUAGUUUAGGACAGGUACAAUCGAAAUGGGCCGAAGACCCAAAAAUGAAAAGUGUCCAAACACCGAUCCAGGCGGACAAAAAUUGGAUUUGGACCCAACUCUCUCUUUCUCUCUCUUUUACUUUAUUGCGUAUUUAAUUGUUGAAA